rnacentral:lncRNA from 1 species
ACAGUCACGAAGGAUAUGUACCAAGCAGUUACCUGGUGGAAAAAUCACCAGACAACCUGCAAAUAUAUGAAUGGUACAAUAAGAAUAUCAGCAGAAGCAAAGCAGAAGUACUCCUCAAAGAUGAGGGUAAGGAAGGUGCCUUCAUGGUGAGAGAUUCGAGGCAGCCUGGCAUGUACACAGUCUCCGUUUUCACCAAGGCAUUAAGG